rnacentral:rRNA from 1 species
UACAGAGGUGGCAAGCGUUGUUCGGAAUUACUGGGCGUAAAGGGCGCGUAGGCGGCCAUCUAAGUCAGACGUGAAAUCCCCCGGCUUAACCUGGGAACUGCGUCUGAUACUGGACGGCUGGAGUUUGGGAGAGGGAUGUAGAAUUCCCGGUGUAGCGGUGAAAUGCGUAGAUAUCUGGAGGAACACCGGUGGCGAAGGCGGCAUCCUGGACCGGCAUUGACGCUGAGGCGCGAAAGCCAGGGGAGCAAACGGG